rnacentral:rRNA from 1 species
AUUGAACGCUGGCGGAAUGCUUCACACAUGCAAGUCGAACGGCAGCACGGACUUCGGUCUGGUGGCGAGUGGCGAACGGGUGAGUAAUACAUCGGAACGUGCCCAGCCGUGGGGGAUAACGUAGCGAAAGCUACGCUAAUACCGCAUACGAUCUACGGAUGAAAGCGGGGGAUCGCAAGACCUCGCGCGAUUGGAGCGGCCGAGGGCAGAUUAGGUAGUUGGUAGGGUAAAGGCCUACCAAGCCGACGAUCUGUAGCUGGUCUGAGAGGAUGAUCAGCCACACUGGGACUGAGACACGGCCCAGACUCAUACGGGAGGCAGCAGUGGGGAAUUUUGGACAAUGGGCGCAAGCCUGGUCCAGCCAUUCCGCGUGCAGGAUGAAGGCCUUCGGGUUGUAAACUGCUUUUGUACAGAACGAAAAGGCUCUGGUUAAUACCUGGGGCUCAUGACGGUACUGUAAGAAUAAGCACCGGCUAACUACGUGCCAGCCGCCGCGGUAA